rnacentral:rRNA from 1 species
UGGGGAAUAUUGCACAAUGGGCGCAAGCCUGAUGCAGCCAUGCCGCGUGUGUGAAGAAGGCCUUCGGGUUGUAAAGCACUUUCAGCGAGGAGGAAGGUGGUGAACUUAAUACGUUCAUCAAUUGACGUUACUCGCAGAAGAAGCACCGGCUAACUCCGUGCCAGCAGCCGCGGUAAUACGGAGGGUGCAAGCGUUAAUCGGAAUUACUGGGCGUAAAGCGCACGCAGGCGGUUUGUUAAGUCAGAUGUGAAAUCCCCGGGCUCAACCUGGGAACUGCAUUUGAAACUGGCAAGCUAGAGUCUCGUAGAGGGGGGUAGAAUUCCAGGUGUAGCGGUGAAAUGCGUAGAGAUCUGGAGGAAUACCGGUGGCGAAGGCGGCCCCCCUGGACGAAGACUGACGCUCAGGUGCGAAAAGCGUGGGGCAGCAAACAGGAUUAGAUACCCUGGUAGUCCAGCGCUGUAAAACGAUGUCGAUUUGGAGGUUGUGCCCCUUGAGGCGU